AUGCCCUUUUUGAUGCCCUUUUUGAACAACACGCCAGCUGAAGGCGGGCAGAAAUACUGCACUCUCCGACGCCAGGUUGGAGUACCACCCAGUGAAGAGUACAAGGAUGUCCGAGCAGUGUCGCCUCUUAUAUGCCGUGACAAAUGGCAAAUCCAUGUCCUGUGUCGAUCCAGUGAUGAGAAGGCUCGGAGAGCAAAGUUGCACAAACACAGGAAAAGCUCCAGCAGAAACUUGAAAAGCUUGACACGGAGAGAGGCGAGGGAGUGAGGCAGCGCGCUCCGAGCAUGACGUGAUGCACUGUUGCCUGUUCAAGGGAAGAGUACAGCCUGUGGUGUGGGGCUGUCACCAGGAUCCUGCUCUUUGUAAGGGCAGCAACCCCCAGUCUGAAAAAAAACCGUCUGUGAGGCACCCCUUCUUUUUCCAAAGGGCAGGAUCUUGGUGACGCUGCUCAGCUGGCUGGUGGCUGGGGGAGGUGGAGAGCAAGAAAAGGGGAAGUCGGAGGGAGCAAAGAAAGGGCGACAGCCUGGGAAGGAAGAGGGAACUUGUAUAACGGAGAGCUCGGACCUGCCGUGAUUCCAAAGAAGUGUUUUUGGGACUGUUCUUCAAGGCCAAGGAGUGAAAGGGGCUAGAGAAGUACUAUACAAAAGUAUUACGAGAUGUACUAUUUAGAAGUAUUAUUGUUUUCAUUAUAUUUUUGAAUUAUACUUAAAAAAAAAAAUCCGGGACUAUAUUUAAGGAACAUUUUUAUCACCCAAGGCACCCAUCUCAGGGGAUUUUUCAGCACCAGGGGAAAGCGAUCAGUAAUGGACACACAUUAUUAACGCAAUAAUAUCUCCCCAACCCUGAAGCAGAGUUUGGUUUGAGAGGACACUAUCAAAAACUCAAAGGCAAAAAGUAUUGUUGCGAUAAACCUAAAAAAAAAAAAACAAAGCAGACCAAAACACAAUGGCUUCAAGCCUCCCAAAUUGCUGGUUAACUCAGAAAAUAAAGUAACCCUAACCUCAUAGCUGCA
rnacentral:lncRNA from 1 species